rnacentral:tRNA from 1 species
CGGAGAGUAGCGCAGUCUGGUAGCGCCCCGGUUUUGGGAACCGGUUGUCGCAGGUUCAAAUCCUGUCUCUCCGACCA